CCCGCCCACCUGGCAUUCAAACCCAGCCCACCUGGCAUGCAAACCCCACCCACCUGGCAUUCAAACCCCACCCACCUGGCAUUCAAACUCAGCCCAUCUGGCAUUCAAACCCCACCCAUCUGCCAUUCAAACCCGCCCAUCUGGCAUUCAAACCCCACCCACCUGGCAUUCAAACCCUGCCCACCUGGCAUUCAAACCCAGCCCAUCUGGCAUUCAAACCCAGCCCACCUGGCAUGCAAACCCCACCCACCUGGCAUGCAAACCCCACCCAUCUGGCAUUCAAACCCAGCCCACCUGGCAUUCAAACCCCACCCACCUGGCAUGCAAACCCCACCCAUCUGGCAUUCAAACCCAGCCCACCUGGCAUGCAAACCCCACCCACCUGGCAUGCAAACCCCACCCAUCUGGCAUUCAAACCCAGCCCACCAGGCAUGCAAACCCCACCCAUCUGGCAUUCAAACCCAGCAAAUCUGGCAUUUAAACCCAGCCCACCAGGCAUUCAAACCCCGCCCACCUGACACUAAAUCCAACUCUCAAAGUAUUUUAAACAUUUCAAAUAGUGUUUGAACCCAGGAUUGGUAAAUGGGACAGUCCCCUCUCUCCGUCUGUUUGACUGCUUUAUCAGCCUCGAAGGCUGCAGGCUGCUGGCCUCUCCAUUCCCUCUGCUUCCAGCCCAGUUUCACACUGGCAGCUCGCUAACAAAGUUACAACAGAUGUGAACGGCGAGGCCAUGCUAGAAACAGAUUUCAUUAUGGUGCCAAACAAACCCAACCCAGGACGGCUGUAAUCUCAUUUCAAAUGUACUGUUGGGUAUUGGCUGAAAUAUGUCCUAAUUUGCAUCCUAUUCCCUAUAUAGUGCACUACUUUUGACCAAAGCCCUAUGGUGCCAUUUGGGACACAGCCUAAAUCAAUUUCCUCGAGCACAGUCCCCAAUGUAAACUCCAUUCUAAUGAGUGUCCUCGGAGAACGGUCCUGUGGGCUACCCGUUGUACUUUGUCUUAACUUUAUGAAUAUCACAUUUAUGUGUGGAGUGAGAGACCCAAGGACACGGCAUUGUGUUGUAGAAGGAAGGCUGUCAGACAGUAGCUCUAAAACCUGAUGUCCAAACAUGGACGUUGAAGACACAGAACAUAUUUAUCACCAGAGAGAAGACCUAACAAACUUUUAGUUCAAUUUAAUUUUAUGUAAACAGGGCGGGCGGUUAAUCAACUCUGUUGUUGUAACACGUUACAUUAAGGUAUGCUUUACAAAUGUGCUCUAAAGGUUUUUAAAGUCGUUUGUAGACUAUUGAUCAGUUUAUCAGUUGAAAUAUAGUUCAUAAAUCAGUAAGGAAACAGCCAUGAGUCGUUGGUUAAUAUUGUGUGAUUUAAAUAAAUGGUCUGUCUUCUCCAGGGGCCUCAAGGACUAGUUGGUGAUAAAGGUCCUUCUGGACCACAGGGCCCCCCUGGUCCUCAAGGGCCUAGUGGACAUUCCAUCCAGGGACCACCGGGUGGUGAUGGUGAAAAGGGAGAAAAGGGAGAUGUUGGUUUACCAGGACCUCAGGGUGUUGGUGGAUCUCCUGGCGGAUCAGGAAGAGAUGGACCAGUUGGACAGAGGG
ensembl:lncRNA